AAAGGAAUAGACGGGGACCCGCACAAGCAGCGGAGCAUGUGGUUUAAUUCGAAGAUACGCGAAGAACCUUACCAAGGCUUGACAUCCCGCGAUCGUCAUAGAAAUAUGAAAUUCCAGCAAUGGACGCGGAGACAGGUGGUGCAUGGUUGUCGUCAGCUCGUGUCGUGAGAUGUUCGGUUAAGUCCGGCAACGAGCGCAACCCUUAUGAUAUGUUGCCAAUAUUAAGUUAGGAACUCAUAUCAGACUGCCGUGGAUAACACGGAGGAAGGCGGGGACGACGUCAAAUCAUCAUGCCCCUUACGUCUUGGGCAACACACGUGCUACAAUGGGCGCUACAAAGAGCAGCAAGCCGGCAACGGCAAGCGAAUCUCAAAAAAGCGUUCUCAGUUCAGAUUGAGGGCUGCAACCCGCCCUCAUGAAGCAGGAGUUGCUAGUAAUCCCGAAUCAGAAUGUCGGGGUGAAUGCGUUCCCGGGUCUUGUACACACCGCCCGU
rnacentral:rRNA from 1 species